rnacentral:rRNA from 1 species
GAUGAACGCUGGCGGCGUGCCUAAUACAUGCAAGUCGAGCGAACGGACGAGAAGCUUGCUUCUCUGAUGUUAGCGGCGGACGGGUGAGUAACACGUGGAUAACCUACCUAUAAUACUGGGAUAACUUCGGGAAACCGGAGCUAAUACCGUAUAAUAUUUUGAACCGCAUUGUUCAAAAGUGAAAGACGGUCUUUCUGUCACUUAUAGAUGGAUCCGCGCUUCAUUAGCUAGUUGGUAAGUUAACGGCUUACCAAGGCAACGAGGCAUAGCCGACCUGAGAGGGUGAUCGGCCACCACGGAACUGAGCCACGGACAAGACGACUACGGGAGGCAGCAGUAGGGAAUCUUACGCAAAGGGCGAAAGUAUGACGGAGAAACGCCGCGUGAGUGAUGAAGGUCUUCGGAUCGUAAAACUCUGUUAUUAGGGAAGAACAUAUGUGUAAGUAACUGUGCACAUCUUGACGGUACCUAAUCAGAAAGCAACGGCUAACUACGUG